rnacentral:rRNA from 1 species
GUGGCGGACGGGUGAGUAACACGUGAGAAUUUGCCUUUAGGAGGGGGAUAACAGAGUGAAAACGCUGCUAAUACCCCAUAUGCUUUCGAGUGAAAUGGAUUUAUUCGCCUAAAGAGAAGCUCGCGGCUGAUUAGCUUGUUGGUAAGGUAAUGGCUUACCAAGGCGACGAUCAGUAUCUGGUUUGAGAGGACGAUCAGACACACUGGAACUGAGACACGGUCCAGACUCCUACGGGAGGCAGCAGUGGGGAAUUUUCCGCAAUGGGCGAAAGCCUGACGGAGCAAUACCGCGUGAGGGAUGACUGCCUAUGGGUUGUAAACCUCUUUUCUCAGGGAGGAAAUCAAUGACGUUACCUGAGGAAUAAGCAUCGGCUAACUCCGUGCCAGCAGCCGCGGUAAGACGGAGGAUGCAAGUGUUAUCCGGAAUCACUGGGCGUAAAGCGUCUGUAGGUGGCUUAACAAGUCAACUGUUAAAUCUUGAAGCUCAACUUCGAAAUCGCAGUCGAAACUGUUAGGCUAGAGUAUAGU